rnacentral:rRNA from 1 species
AGUGAACGCUGGCGGUAGGCCUAACACAUGCAAGUCGAACGGCAGCACAGUAAGAGCUUGCUCUUACGGGUGGCGAGUGGCGGACGGGUGAGGAAUACAUCGGAAUCUACUUUUUCGUGGGGGAUAACGUAGGGAAACUUACGCUAAUACCGCAUACGACCUACGGGUGAAAGCAUGGGAUCUUCGGACCUUGCGCGAUUGAAUGAGCCGAUGUCGGAUUAGCUAGUUGGCGGGGUAAAGGCCCACCAAGGCGACGAUCCGUAGCUGGUCUGAGAGGAUGAUCAGACACACUGGAACUGAGACACGGUCCAGACGCCUACGGGAGGGAGCAGUGGGGAAUAUUGGACAAUGGGCGAAAGCCUGAUCCAGCAAUACCGCGUGGGUGAAGAAGGCCUUCGGGUUGUAAAGCCCUUUUGUUGGGAAAGAAAAGAAGCAGGUUAAUACCCCGCUGUUAUGACGGUACCCAAAGAAUAAGCACCGGCUAACUUCGUG